AUUGAACGCUGGCGGCAGGCCUAACACAUGCAAGUCGAACGAGUGGAGGAAGUGUGAGCAAUGUCUGGGAAACUGCCCGAUGGAGGGGGAUAACUACUGGAAACGGUAGCUAAUACAGCAUACCAUCGGAUGUGCCCCGAUGGGAUUAGCUAGUAGGUGGGGUAAUGGCUAACCUAGGCGACGAUCCCUAGCUGGUCUGCGAGGCUGACCAGCCACACUGGAACUGAGACACGGUCCAGACUCCUACGGGAGGCAGCAGUGGGGAAUAUUGCACAAUGGGCGCAAGCCUGAUGCAGCCAUGCCGCGUGUAUGAAGAAGGCCUUCGGGUUGUAAAGUACUUUCAGCGAGGAGGCGUUACUCGCAGAAGAAGCACCGGCUAACUCCGUGCCAGCAGCCGCGGUAAUUC
rnacentral:rRNA from 1 species